rnacentral:rRNA from 1 species
UGGGGAAUAUUGCACAAUGGGCGAAAGCCUGAUGCAGCGACGCCGCGUGAGGGAUGACGGCCUUCGGGUUGUAAACCUCUUUCAGUAGGGAAGAAGCGAAAGUGACGGUACCUGCAGAAGAAGCGCCGGCUAACUACGUGCCAGCAGCCGCGGUAAUACGUAGGGCGCAAGCGUUAUCCGGAAUUAUUAGGCGUAAAGAGCUCGUAGGCGGUUUGUCGCGUCUGCUGUGAAAGACCGGGGCUCAACUCCGGUUCUGCAGUGGGUACGGGCAGACUAGAGUGAUGUAGGGGAGACUGGAAUUCCUGGUGUAGCGGUGAAAUGCGCAGAUAUCAGGAGGAACACCGAUGGCGAAGGCAGGUCUCUGGGCAUUAACUGACGCUGAGGAGCGAAAGCAUGGGGAGCGAACAGG